CCUGAAAUGUGUUUUAGCUUUAGGAUUUCAGAUUCAGUCAUCCUUUCCCCACUUAGUCUGGGCCGUUGUGACAGUCAUUCAGUAGAAUAUCUCUUCUUGGCUAUACAGCACUGAUUUACUUUUUGCUGGCUUUUUACCAUGACUUGCUAGAAGACACUGGAAUAGCUAGUAAAGAAAUCACAGCCUAUUGGUUGUUUAACAGUAUAGACUGCCAGGGUUCAAACAAAGGCUUUGUGACCUCAAACCUAAGCAUCAGGUGUUUUCUUCUGUAAAGGUGUUAAUAAUUAAUGCCAUUUGUUGCCCCAGGGCUGUCAUGAAGUUUAGUUGAUACGUGACAGCUUGUACUAGGCAAGGGCUUAAUAAGUGUAAGCACCGCCUGAGAGGGGUGCUCUUUAAGUAGGUAGGUUUGAAUCCCAAAGCCCUUGGUCUUUGUACACUGCCCCUACAAGGA
rnacentral:lncRNA from 1 species